UUUCCGUAGGUGAACCUGCGGAAGGAUCAUUAAAAAAUUGGACUCCAUUGGUGAGUUCAUUAAUAAUCCCUACCCUUUGUGAAUUUGUUUGUUUUGAAUAAUUUUUUUUCCAAAAAAAAUUAUUGAAUGUCUUUCCUUGUUUUGGUGGAGCUUGUAAAGUGAAACCAGGCAGGGGAAUGGCAAACAAUAAUUAUUUUUGAAAAAGACCUUUUUUUAAAAUUAAACUUUUUGUAUUCAUUUGUCUAAAAUUAAUUUUUAUAAUAUAAAAACAACUUUUGACAAUGGAUCUCUUGGUUCUCGCAACGAUGAAGAACGCAGCAAAAUGCGAUAAGUAGUGUGAAUUGCAGAAUACGUGAAUCAUCGAAUCUUCGAACGCAUAUUGCACUUUUUUAGUUUACUAAAAAAGUAUGUCUGUUUGAGUAUCAGUAAAAUAUUCUCAUAAAAAACAUUGUUUUUUUUAUGGUUAUAAGUGUUUUUACAACGAUAACAAGUUGUUUCACUUUAAAUUCUUUGUUAUCAAAAAAAUCAUUAAAAGCUAAUUUUAAAGAUUUUUUAAAAUUGGAUAAAAUUUUCCCGUAAAAAGGAAUAACCUAAACAAUUUUAAAAAAUUAAAAUUGGUUUGAUUUUUUUUGAAACCCAAAGGAAAAAAAAACGAAAUUAACUUGAUCUCAAAUCAGAUAAGAGUACCCGCUGAACUUAAGCAUAUCAAUAAGCGGAGGAAAAGAAACUAACUAGGAUUCCCUCAGUAACGGCGAGUGAAGCGGGAAGAGCUCAAAUUUGAAAUCUUCAAGGUUUUACCUUGACGAAUUGUAGUUUAAAGAAGUGUUUUCUGUUGGAGUUUUGGUAAAAGUUCUUUGGAAAAGGACAUCAUAGAGGGUGAGAAUCCCGUAUUUGACCAUUAUCUCCAGCUUUGUGAUACACUUUCAAAGAGUCGGAUUGUUUGGGAAUGCAGUCCAAAAUGGGUGGUAAAUUUCAUCUAAAGCUAAAUACUGGCGAGAGACCGAUAGCGAACAAGUACCGUGAGGGAAAGAUGAAAAGAACUUUGAAAAGAGAGUUAAACAGUACGUGAAAUUGUCAAAAGGGAAGCGUUUGACGCCAGUGUUGUUUUCUCGAAAAUCAAUUAAAAAAGGCCGGAUUUUGUGUUGUAUUGACUUUAUCAGCUUUCUGCACUCUUUUCUUGUCUUUUUUAAUGCACUUUUCGUUUAACAAGUCAACAUCAAUUUCUUUUGUUGUAAAAGGGUCAUUGGAAGGUGGCUUUCUUUUCGGAGAAAGUGUUUAUAGCCUUUGGCCUCUGCAAUCGGAGAGAUUGAGGUCUGCAGCGUAGAUCCUUCGGGGUUAGAUACAUUUGUGCUAAGUUAUAGCCUUUCAUAGACAACUUGUUGACUAUGAUCAGUCAUGUAGCUUACUCGCUUAUGCUAUU
rnacentral:misc_RNA from 1 species